rnacentral:rRNA from 1 species
UUAGAGUUUGAUCCUGGCUCAGGAUGAACGCUGGCGGCGUGCCUUAAGCAUGCAAGUCGAACGGGAUUUCGAGUCGCAAGAUUUGAUUUUCAGUGGCGGACGGGUGAGUAUAAGUAAGGAACGUACCCUGAAGUAUCGGAUAGCUCGUCGAAAGACGGGGUAAUACGGUAUGUGAAUGCAAGUUCAAAGAGGUUAACCCCUCGCUUUAGGAGCGGCCUUAUAUCUAUCAGCUAGUUGGUGGGGUAAUUGCCUACCAAGGCUACGACGGAUAGGGGGUGUGAGAGCACGACCCCCCACAAUGGCACUGAGACACGGGCCAUACAUCUACGGAUGGCAGCAACUGGGAAUAUUCGGCAAUGGACGAAAGUCUGACCGAGCGACGCCGCGUGAGGGAUGAAGGUUUUCGGAUCGUAAACCUCUUUUGCCAAGCAGUCGAUGCUUGGAGAAUAAGCACCUACAAACUACGUGCCAGCAGUCGCGGUAAUACGUAGGGUGCAAGCGUUAUCCGGAUUUACUGGGUGUAAAGUGUCGUGUAGGCGGUAUACCGCAUCGUAUUUGAAAGCCCGAGGCUUAACCUCGGCGUUGGAUACGAGAUGGGUAAACUUUGGAGGAAUGGAGAGGAAAGGGGAACUCAUGGUGAAGCAGUGAAAUGCGUUGAUAUCAUGAGGAACACCGAAGGCGAAGGCACCUUUCUGGCCAUUUUCUGACGCUGAGACACGAAAGCUAGGGGAGCGAAGCAGAUUAGAGACCUGCGUAGUCCUAGCCCUAAACGCAUGUCUGCUAGAUGCCCUGCCGCAAGGUGGGGUGUCGUAAGCUAACGCGUUAAGCAGACCACCUGGGGACUACGAGCGCAAGCUUAAAACUCAAAGGAAUUGACGGGGACCCGCACAACCAGUGGAGCGUGUGGUUCAAUUCGAGACAAAGCGAAGGACCUCACCAGGGUUUGGCAUGCUACCGUUCACCCACCCAGAAAUGGGAGGGGAUCCGCAAGGAUGGUAGCACAGCUGCUGCAUGGCUGUCGUCAGCUCGUGCCGUGGGGUGUUCCCUUAAGUGGGACAACGAGCGCAACCCCUAUCCGAUGUUAUAUGUGUCAUCGGAGACCGCCCCCUCUCGGAGUACAGAAAUUUUCUGUAUUGCGAGAGGGGGAGGAAGGAGGGGACGACGUCAAGUCAGCACGGCGCUUAUGCCCUGGGCCACACACACCCUACAAUGGCGAACAACAACGAGACGCAAGGUAGCAAUGCCAAGCAAAUCUCUGAAAUUUCGCCUCAAUUCAGAUUGAGGGCUGCAACUCGCCCUCAUGAAGUUGGAAUUGGUAGUAAUCGCGGAUCAGCAGGCCGCGGUGAAUACGUUCUCGGGUCUUGUACACACCGCCCGUCAAGCCACCAAAGUUGAAGGUACCCGAAGGUUUGUUUUGCAAGUCGAAGGUAAAUUCAGCGAUGGGGACUAAGUCGUAACAAGGUAACCA